AGGUCAAGUAGAAAAGGGCGCACGGUGAAUGCCUAGGCACUAACAGCCGAAGAAGGACGUGACGAACUACGAAAAGCUUCGGGGAGCGGUAAGUACGCAGUGAUCCGGAGAUAUCCGAAUGGGGGAACCCAAUGCAGAGAUGCAUUAUUGAUUAGUGAAUAGAUAGCUAAUCAAAGGAAGACGCAGUGAACUGAAACAUCUAAGUAGCUGCAGGAAGAGAAAGAAAGAUCGAUUUCCUUAGUAGCGGCGAGCGAAGAGGAAAGAGCCCAAACCAAGUGAUUUAUCAUUUGGGGUUGUAGGACUGCGACGUGGCAGUGUAAGAGAUAGUUGAAUUAUCUGGGAAGGUAAGCCAGAGAGGGUGAGAGCCCCGUAAGCGAAAUCUCAAGCACGCCUAGCAGAAUCCUGAGUAGGCCGGGACACGAGGAAUCCCGGUUGAAACCGCGAGGACCAUCUCGCAAGGCUAAAUACUAGUUAGUGACCGAUAGUGAACCAGUACCGUGAGGGAAAGGUGAAAAGAACCCCGGAAGGGGAGUGAAAAAGAACCUGAAACCGUGUGUCUACAAGUAGUCAAAGCACAUUAAAGUGCAAUGGCGUGCCUUUUGUAGAAUGAACCGGCGAGUUACGUUAUCUAGCGAGGUUAAGUCA
rnacentral:rRNA from 1 species